UACGUAGGGACCAAGCGUUGUUCGGAUUUACUGGGCGUAAAGGGCGCGUAGGCGGCAUGACAAGUCACUUGUGAAAUCUCUGGGCUUAACCCAGAACGGCCAAGUGAUACUGUCGCGCUAGAGUGCGGAAGGGGCAAUCGGAAUUCUCGGUGUAGCGGUGAAAUGCGUAGAUAUCGAGAGGAACACCUGAGGUGAAGACGGGUUGCUGGGCCGACACUGGCGCUGAGUGCGCGAAAGCCAGGGGAGCAAACGGG
rnacentral:rRNA from 1 species